GUUUAUGCCUUCAGGAGAGGACAGUAGUGUAGUGCCAGUUGUUGUUUAGUCAUUUAGUCGUGUCCAACUCUUCGUGACCGCAUGGACCAGAGCACGCCAGGCACUCCUGUCUUCCACUGCCUCCCUCAGCUUGGUCAAACUCAUGUUGGUAGCUUCAAGAACACUGUCCACCCAUCUCAUCCUCUGUUGUCCCCUUAUCCUUGUGCCCUCAAUCUUUCCCAACAUCAGGGUCUUUUCCAGGGAGUCUUCUCUUCUCAUGAGGUGGCCAAAGUAUUGGAGUCUCAGCUUCACGAUCUGUCCUUCCAGUGAGCACUCAGGGCUGAUUUCCUUAAGAAUGGGUAGGUUUGAUCUUCUUGCAGUCCAUGGGACUGUAGUGCCAAUAAUGAUCUAAAAAUGUGGAGAAUGUGUGGAAUGUGGUCUUGUGGUCAGAUCCUGCUUGCAGGUUUCCUACAGACAUCUGGUUGACCAGUUUGAGAACCAGGUUUAUUAUUUAUUUGUUUUCUAUACCUCCUUUCAUCGGAAGAUUGCAGGACAGUUUACAGUACAGUCGUACCUCGGAAGUCGAACAGAUUCAGUUCAGGAAGUCCGUUCGACUUCCAAAACAUUUGGAAACCAAGGAGUGGCUUCUGAUUGGCCGCAGCCAAUCAGAAGCUGCGUAAACUGCGUUGGCUGUUCAGGUUCCAAAGAACAUUCGCAAACCGGAACACUCACUUCCAGGUUUGCGGCGUUCAGGAGUCAAAACGUUCGACUUGCAAGACAUUCGUCAACCAAGGGACGACUGUAUAAAAUAUACAAAAAUGCAGAACACAGUAACAAACAAAGCAAUACCUGCCUCCGCCUCCACCCCUGAUUUAAAAGGCCAUAGACAGUUUAAUCUGCAAAUGGCCUAGGUGAAGAAGAAUAUUUUCAUCUCACACCUAAAGAUAUGUAGGGAAGGGGCCAAACGAGCCUUCCUUGGGAGAGUUGAUUCUCUAUACCUUUGCCCUCAUUUAUUGUUUGAUUCUUCCCCAAUCUAAGAAGCCCCUUUCCUCAUUCCACAGUUGGGGACAAAGAACAGUUGUGCACAAAUUUCUGUGGCCCCUGCUUCCUACUCAACCAUUAGCAUUUGAUCUCCAAGGAACCUUCUUCUUGCCAACAAAGUCAUGAAGUACAUUGAUACAGAAAGAGCCCCAAGCUCCAUGCAUGCCAUAUCCAGAUGCUGGACAAGACUGGCCAUUGGUGUUACCCUGGACUAGAUGGGCCGUGGGUGUGACCCAGCAAGCUCAUCUUAUGUUCCCAUGUAGUGUAGAAGAAAAUGUUUUGAAUACGGCUGGAGAGCCACCUAUGUGCUGGACUAAUGAUCUAUAAGUGCAAGAACAUUCUGUUUUCCUAUCUCUCGUAGGUAUAGGAAUUAUGCCCCACCUGGUAAAAGCUGCUGUGCCACACCAUUCUGUUGUCAUCAAUGGAUGUUUUCUUUCCCGGGGCAGCUUCCACGUCCACCCUUCCAACCUUGACCCUCACAAAGGAGUUAUUUGGGAAAGUGACCAGGUUGGUAAUAUCAAAGCCAGUAUCUACUUCCCCAUUCUCACUAAAAGAUAAAGUUUCUCCAGCAGAGCUGUUAAACGAGACACUUCUAAGGAAGGGAUGGAGCUGCAUUGGAAUAAAAAUAGUAAUUAUGAAUAACGCAAAUCUCUCGCCGUACUGGCACCCAGGAUGCAGGUCGUGCAAUGCAAACAUAAUGCAUUCCUUAGAAAUAAUUCACAAGGUGAG
rnacentral:lncRNA from 1 species